CCUACGGGAGGCUGCAGUGGGGGAUAUUGCACAAUGGGCGGAACCCUGAUGCAGCGACGCCGCGUGGAGGAAGAAACGCCUCUGCGCGUUAAGCCCUGUCAGCAGGGAAGAAAAUGACGGUACCUGAAGAGGAAGCCCCGGCUAACUACGUGCCAACAGCCGCGGUAAAACGUAGGGGGCAAGCGUUAUCCGGAUUUACGGGGGGUAAAGGGGGCGCAGACGGCGAUGCAAGCCAGGAGUGAAAGCCCGGGGCCCAACCCCGGGACUGCUCUUGGAACUGUGUGGCUGGAGUGCAGGAGGGGCAGGCGGAAUUCCUGGUGUAGCGGUGAAAUGCGUAGAUAUCAGGAAGAACACCGGUGGCGAAGGCGGCCUGCUGGACUGCAACUGACGUUGAGGCCCGAAAGCGUGGGGAGCAAACAGGAUUAGAUACCCUAGUAGUC
rnacentral:rRNA from 1 species